GAAAAAAUGUACUGAACAAGGUAUUAGUAAUACAAGAAACUACUACAUACAUUAUGAUUCUUAAUGUAUCCUUCCAAACAACCCCUAAAUGUACACUAGGUAAAGCUUCAAAUGCUAUUCUUCCAGCUAAUACAUAGACACUCUACUCGGCUGGGAAGGAGCAGAAGCACACAAUUCUUUUCCAUGGGGAGGGAAAGGAAGGAGAAAUGGCAAAAUUAUCUUACAUAAGAUGUCAUAACUUGGUGGCAUGGAGUCGUCGUAACUCUAAUGGUAGUAGGAACCUUACGAACUGGACAUAUUAUCGAUGAACCUUCUGUGAACUUUUCUUCUCUAAUGAGAUUUCUACUCUGCCUAUAUUUCUAAAUUGGGAAGAGGCAGCAACUUGACUACCAAACCAAGUUGAUGGCCAGGUCCAAAAGACUUUCUACUUGAUGUAUUGCGCGUUGCUUCUCCUGUUGUUUCAAUCUACUCGCGACUGAUUCUGGAUCAAGUCCUUGUGCUUCUAAUGAUUCUGUAUAUUCAGAUCGCACCUCCUUUAACAGUUCGUCCACCUCUCUGACAAAAUCUAUCCUCAAAAGCAUAUCGUCAGCUUCCAAAGUUGGUCUUAGAGGACCUUGAUGCGUG
rnacentral:misc_RNA from 1 species